AAAUAUCGUAUUAUUAGUGUCAUUUAGUCGUACGGAUUAUUAUCGGCUAUCGAACCGGACGAUUAGGUCAGGUCAGGUUAGAUUGGGUUGUAGGCAGUGCGGUUAACGCGCCUGUAAGCGUCGCGGCGUCUCCGCGGGAGUCGGUCAAGCGUUUUGACAACAAAUCGUUUUUUAGUUGUCCGCGGGUACCGAACAAAACACGGCGGAUUCUUUGAAGGCGGCACUCUAACCGAAAAGGUGUUUUUCGAGAAAAGAGACCCACCGGGUGAUCUGUUAA